UGAACAGAUAUUCAUCCACAUCAAAGGAGAGAUCUGAAGCCUACAUCAUGACUUAAGAAUGGAACAAAGCCUUCCGCCUUAUAGUUUUGAGAAUUGUUACUGAAAGACUGUUUGGAGUUUCUGUUCUUGGCAACACUGUGAUGCCUAAGACACCUGAGGCCAACGUUUGCAUGUUCCAUUUCAGGCCAGUUGAGCAAGAACCAAGCAACCUUACUUGGUCUACAACUGAUAUCUUACUUUUUGCAUUGGCCGACAAGUCUCAAGAUGUGAAUGAAGCUUCUAGCAAACGGUUGUCUCUCUCACCGAAUGAGUCUGUAAAGGAAGAAUAUACCUAACUGUGAUUGGCUGUCACACCGACUUUCAGGGCAUGGGGACAUUCAAAAGCAAAGGGAAAUGGGCUUCAUAAAAGG